CCAUUUUUGAUUUUUGGUGCAUGAACCCGAUUUUCCCUAAAUCAAGAGGCUAGGCUAUGGGUUUGGCAAGGAUUUGUGGUGAAGAAGGCCAAUGAGGAGGAUUAGGCCAUGAGUUUUGAAGAAGAAAGGGAAACACGAUCGUUAAGGAAGCUUAAGCGGAAAGCGUCAGAGUGUGGAAUACGCCGGCAUUUCCAGAUAAGGUGAGCUGUCCCUUCCUUGUUAGAGGUUUUCGAUAUAUGUGGAAUGCUAUACUAAGAUAGUAUGUUGCCGGCAAUUGCGUUUUUCGUUGUUCAUUAGUCGAUGCCUCGUGAUACAUGUGUUUUCAGAACUGAUAAUUGCUAAUUACGAAAACCGAGGCUAGACUUGCAUGUUGAGAUACUGUACCCUUGUAUGUUUA